rfam:Pteropus alecto contig100565, whole genome shotgun sequence.
GCACUUUCUUUGGCAACACAUAUACUAAAAUUGGAACAAUACAGAGAUUAGCCUGGCCCCUGUGCAGGGAUGACAUGCAACUUCGUGAAGCGUUCCAUGUUAAA